UACGUAGGGUGCAAGCGUUAAUCGGAAUUACUGGGCGUAAAGCGUGCGCAGGCGGCUAUGCAAGACAGAUGUGAAAUCCCCGGGCUUAACCUGGGAACUGCAUUUGUGACUGCAUGGCUGGAGUGCGGCAGAGGGGGAUGGAAUUCCGCGUGUAGCAGUGAAAUGCGUAGAUAUGCGGAGGAACACCGAUGGCGAAGGCAAUCCCCUGGGCCUGCACUAACGCUCAUGCACGAAAGCGUGGGGAGCAAACAGG
rnacentral:rRNA from 1 species